rnacentral:lncRNA from 1 species
CGUCCCCUGCAUCGGACCGAAGUCCGACAACUGACUGGGACCCCGUCCCUACAUCGGACCGAUUUCUGAAACUGACUGGGACCCCGUCCCCUACAUCGGACCGAUGUCCGAAACACAAGAAUAAUACUAAUCCCAUAUGGCCUCAAACCUUUGAGUAUAAAUAAAACGCCUUUUAUUUAUCACCAUAUUGAUUACUCAUUAUUUGUCGUUUCGGGUAAUCAACUUCUUACUUGAAUUCCAACACUUGUCCCAUGCUCCUAGCAUGCACACAAUGUUUACCUAUGGUUCUUACUUUGUGAAAUAGAUCACAUUGAACACAUUUCCAAUCCUUCUCAUUUCACAACUCCAAAUCCGUUUUUCAUAAGUUAAAGAAUAUCAAAUUCUUGCUACUUAUAGAAUAUGCUAGAUUCUAACAUUCUAUGCAACUAUCAUUUCGUAAUGUCACUGCACCAAAGUCACAAAGACUAUUGCCAAUGAUAUUACAAAGUCCUCUAUCGGAGAUUGUUACAAGACAAUUCCUUAGAUAUGAUGUCUCUCACUCAAAGUACAUUCCUUUGAACAUCCUUUUUCAUAAAAGUUUCUAAUCUAGACAUAGAUUUUCAAUAUUCAAUUCCUAAUAUGGAUGAAACGACCCAAAAAUACGACCCAAAAAUUUCAUUUUUCAAUAUAACCAAAAACCAUAAAUCUGAGUAUCAUAUCAUAAAACCACACACUAUGUUUCCCAACCAUAAUAAAAAUACUGUGAUGAAGACUGUAUCAUAACUGAAACAUAUCAUAAUCAAGAAACUGAAUCAACUCCCAGGAUAAAAACUGAAGUUGUGGUAUGUGCGAUGCCAUCAUCUUGAGCUCUUCCCUUUGCUUGCGGAAGUACCUGAAACCAAAACUGAAACUGUAAGAACGAAGCUUAGCGAGCUCCCCCAAACUACCACAUACAUUGCAAUAACAUAUAAAGCACAUACUGGGGCCUUGCCCCCUCCAUCGGACCGAAGUCCGAAGCUGACUAACUAGGACCUUGUCCCCUGCAUCGGACCGAAGUCCAGGCUAACUGAAUAGAACAUAGCAUAAACAUAUCAACUAGCAUGAACACACCUAUACUACAUACUACAUCGAGCCAUGGCCCGGAACACAUAACACAUAAUUCCUGUCUGAGCCACGAAGGCAUCAAACAUACUAAAUACUGCAUCAGAUCAAAAUCCGGAAACUGCUACUAGCUAAAUGUGUUGGCAUUAUGGCCUUAGACACAUUCCUACUGGAAGGAAACUCACCUGAGACUGCUGUACUGAUGCUGCUAAUCCUUUUGACUGCUACUUGACCUCUGACUCCGAACUGCUGCUCCACUAGCUCCACGAGCUACCAAUGUCAAUAUAACACUUAGUCCAACUGUCCUCCAAAGGUCANGUCAACUCUGGUCAAGGUCAAAAUCCUGGUCAAAGUCAACCUUCCAGGUCAACCCUACUCGCCGAGUCCACCUAAUGACUCGCCGAGUUCAUAUGCUCAGGGUCUUUCUAUUCGCGACUCGACUCGCCGAGUCAGUCCAUGACUCGCCGAGUCCAACUAUUUGCGAGUCCUGACCUGUCCAACUCGCUGAGUCUCCACCCGAAUCACUGAUUCGAGUUUCAACUUGAAGGGUUUGGGGUUUUGCGACGUGACUCGUCGAGUCCAAGAAUAGACUCGCCGAGCCCAAGGCAAUCUUCAACCAACUCGUCGAGUUGUUCUUCAAACUCGCCGAGUUCAUGCCUAACUUCAUCCAACUCGACGAGCUAUUCAUCCCAGUCGUCGAGUUCCUCCUCAUCUUCAAGCUACUCGCCGAGUCCACUCGAAGGACUCGCCGAGUCUAUUCAGUCCUUAAUCCAUGCAGUGGCUUUUCGAGCCAAACAGGGCUUCCAACUCAUAGAUCCAUACUUCUAAGGCCUAUCCCCCACGUAAAGUGGCAAUCUUUACGUGUAGAUCAAGAGAUCUAGGCUUAAAACAAUCCAAACCAGGGUUUAAGACAAAGAGGCUUCACUAUCAACCCAAGAACAGAUGCUUUAUGACUUUCUAGGCUAAGAUAGACUCAGAUUUGAAGUAGCAACUUCAUAUCUAGGCUUCUAACUCGAAAUAGUUCAUAAGCAUGGUAUAAAAUCCCCAAAUCACAUAGCCAAAGUUGAUCUAUUAAACAAAAGAGGGAAGGUAACGAUUUAAUACCUUUAAAUGCUUAGAAAUGUUCCACCAACUCUGGAUCCAAGGCCCCCUUCUUGCUCCACAAAGACUAACUUCUCUCUCAAGCUCCAAAAGCUUCACUAAGGGUAGAUCUUGCUCCAAAACGAUUAUGGCGGCUAGGGUUUAGUGUUAUGUGCUAGAGAGGCAGUAAAGGAACCCUAGGGGAGAGAAUGAGACGUUUAAAUAAGCUCCAAGUCCCGGAUUUAGGGUUUUCCUUGCUCAGACCAGACUCACCGAGUCACCUUGGCCGACUCGCCGAGUCGGUCGCUUAUACCUCAACCCAGAUCCCGCUCGGACUCGCCGAGUCCCUCCNUGUAUGAAGAGGGAUGUUGCAUGGUUCGUCGAGAGGUGCCUAACUUGUCGCCAAGUUAAGGCCGAGCACCAGCGUCCGCAUGGUAAGCUGCAACCGCUGGAGAUUCCCGAGUGGAAGUGGGAACAGAUUACCAUGGAUUUUAUCACCAAAUUGCCAAGGACUGCGAGAGGAGUCGAUGCAAUUUGGGUGACUGUGGACAGGUUGACGAAGAGCGCUCAUUUUCUUGCUAUCAGUGAGAGCUCUUCUGCUGAGAGGUUGGCAGAGUUGUAUGUCAGGGAGGUGGUAUCGCGGCAUGGGGUUCCGAUGUCGAUUGUUUCAGAUCGAGACGUGCGAUUUACUUCCAGAUUUUGGAAGAAGUUUCACGAGGAGUUGGGUACAAGGCUGCAUUUCAGUACCGCAUACCACCCACAGACGGACGGGCAGAGUGAGCGGACGAUUCAGACGCUCGAGGAUAUGCUCCGAGCGUGUGUUUUGGAUUUUGGAGGGAGUUGGGACACCUAUUUACCCUUGGCAGAGUUUUCGUACAACAACAGCAAUCAUUCGAUCAUUGGUGUGCCACCCUUUGAGCUGUUGUAUGGGAGGAGGUGUCGGACGCCCAUCUGCUGGGGAGAGGUGGGGCAUCGGGUAAUGGGUACUACGAAGAUUGUGCUUCAGACGACAGAGCAGAUACAGCAGGUCAGGCAGGUAUUGUUGACCGCUUAGAGUCGCCAGAAGAGCUAUGCGGACAGGCGUCGGUCCGAGCUCGAGUUUCAGGUUGGUGACCUAGUACUCUUAAAAGUCUCUUCUUGGAAAGGAGUGAUUCGAUUCAGGAAGAGGGGCAAGUUGGGACCUCGAUACAUUGGACCUUACAGGGUAAUUGCGAGGGUAGGCAGGGUUGCCUACCUUUUGGAUCUACCUGCGGAGCUGGGUCAGAUUCACAACACCUUUCAUGUGUCGUAGUUGAGGAAGUGUAUUGCCGACGAGUCGGCUGUGGUUCCAUUAGAGGACAUCCAGGUGGAUGCGGGCCUGAACUAUGUAGAGAGACCAGUGGCAAUUAGGGAUCGAAAGGUUAAGGUUCUGAGGAACGAGGCAGUGCCGUUGGUGCAAGUGUAGUGGCAGCAUCGGAAGGGGUACGAGCUGUCAUGGGAGUCCGAGUUGGAGAUGCGGGAGCAGCAUCCAGAAUUGUUUUCGGUAUAAGACUUCGGGGAUGAAGUCUGGUUCUAGUGGGGGAAAAUUGUAACAGCCGAAAUUCAGGUACAACCGAUUAGCCCUUCAUCUUUAUUUAUUUGUCAUUUUGGGCCUUCGUGUUGGGCGAAUACGCUGGGCGUACAAGGAGUACGUUGCACGUACUCGUGCGCCUCAUUUAAACACGUCAUCGUCGGGUACGCUAGGCAUACCCAAGGUUACGCCGGGCGUAAUCGGUCCAGACCCAAAACCCUAAUUUGAGUUGUUGGCUAUAAAAGGAAUGAGAUGGCUUGGUUCCUCAGCCACCAUCCUUCAGAAAGAAACCUUAAGAGAGUUUUUCCUUCGUUCAUAGCUUGUUUGUGAGCAUUGUAAGCUUCAAGGUGACAUUUCAAGGUAGCAAAAGGAAAGAGGAGUCCAUUGUGGAGGCUAGAAGUUGGUGUGCAAGUGUAGAUCCGUGAUAAGCAAAGGUUGGAGCUUCUUCCUAAGGUAAAAAGUUCAGAUCUUGCCUUGUAGUUCUUAUGGUAUGCUUCAUGGAGCAAUUUCUAGGGUUUUGGUCCCAAAUGAUGGGUUUUGGUCAUAAGACAUCAUAUGUGCUCAUACAAACCCUAAUGCUUGGAUCUAGGUUUCUCUAUUGUACAUGAUUUGAAUCCAAGACUAUAAACCCUAAUUCUAACAUUCAAAUAAUCAUAUUAACAUGAGAAUAGGUUUAUAAUGUUACCUUGAUUGUUAUGUAGUAAUAACAAUCCCAAUUCCUCCUUGAAUUGAAUUUGGAAGGCUUAGAGUCACAAGUGUCACUCCUCUAAUGGUUCACAAACACCAUAAGUAAGAGGAUGAAGAGGAGAGAGGAUGGAAGCUACCAAAACCGUGUGAAAACCCUAGAAGGUUGCUUGUCCACGUUUUCUGGUCCUUAAGGGAUCUAUAUAUAAUGAGGCUAUUAGGGUUAUCUAACAAGGAAACCCUAAUUUGGUUGCUUAAGCCCUAAGCAACCCAUGGAGCCCUUUCCAUAAGGCCUUGGACGAUUUCAUAUGGGCUUCCCCCAUAGAGUUUGUUCACCUUAUAAUAUAAGGCAAUCCAUGGCCCAAAUUGCAAUUAUCUUAUAAUUACAAUUCUAGUCCCUUAAGUUUAAUUAAUCUCUUUUAGUCACAAAACUAAUUACCAAUUAAUUAUUGACUAAUAUUAAUUAAACAAUAUGAUUUCUCCUUUAAUAUAUUAUUCCCAUAAUAUAUUAAUAAAUCAUAUUUAAUCCUUUCUCUCCAUAAUUCAUCCUAUCAAGUUGCUUUGGUGAAGGCAACCCAAAAGGACCAUGCACCAUCGGGUCAAGUACAUACCAAAAUAGUUAUGGACUUAGACACUAAUCCAACAGUCUCCCACUUGGAUAAGUCUAAUAACUAUUCUGCGUAUGACUUCAGAUCCUGAUCUGCAAUCGUAGCUUUCCAAAGCCGCUGUCAACUCUGAUCCUAUCAGAUACGCGUGUCCUUUAGAUAAGGGAUCAUAUAUUCCUCCAUUCUAGAUAUCGUAUGAGAUAUGAUUUCAAAUCAUUCUCUUUGUACUAUAUCUCGAUUCCCGAUUUAUGACGACUGACUAAUUGAACAAAUCAAAUUAGCCCUAGCCCGGCCGAGCAUUUACGUUUGUCAUCACUAAACCAUCGAGGGGCCCAAAGAUAUCGCUUUUAUCCUACUUUGGAUAAAAGGAACGGAUAAACUUUGAUACAAUGCUUGCUUGCACUCACUCACCGAAUCACACACAACAAUAUGUUUUAUAACACCAAGUUACUAGUGCGUUUACAUAUUAUCAAUGUGCAACCGAUUUGCAAGAUACAACUCACACAUCUCGGUUUCAAGAAUAUAAGAUGUUAUCGUCUCACCAAUCACUCGUGAUACAAUUCAUGGAGUGAUCCAAGUGAGCGUGGGUUUAAUCCAAUGCUCAAAUCAUAUUCAUAAGCACUCAUGAACGUUGCAGCAAACAUUUGCUUAUGUCUAAUACUCUUUAGACAAUCCACACACCAAUUCACGACAGUCUUCAUUCAUACCUACUUCCAACAUAUGAACGACUGUGGCCCGUUCGAAUAAUUCGACUGUUCUUAAUAAACUCAAUUAUUCUGGAAGUCAAAACAUGCAAAUGUGAAACACAAGAAUAAUACUAAUCCCAUAUGGCCUCAAACCUUUGAGUAUAAAUAAAACACCUUUUAUUUAUCACCAUAUCGAUUACUCAUUAUUUGUCGUUUCGGGUAAUCAACUUCUUACUUGAAUUCCAACACUUGUCCCAUGCUCCUAGCAUGCACACAAUGUUUACCUAUGGUUCUUACUUUGUGAAAUAGAUCACAUUGAACACAUUUCCAAUCCUUCUCAUUUCUCAACUCCAAAUCCGUUUUUC